UAUCUUUGACGUAUUUUCUCUGUUAAUGCCGUGAAAAGUGCUUCGGCAGUAUUAAAAGAGUGAACGAGUUCAUGUACACGUUAAAAGUGCCCUACACGCUUGUACCUUGGGAAACGUUCGUCUUUGAAGAUGAACAGACGGCUCUCCCUGAGACGAGACAGACAGCUCAUCCAGCUUUCAGGGUCCAGGAUGAUUUAAUUCUGCUCUGCUCAAGGCUUCUGUAUUGUCUACCAUCCUCUGUUGGCCAUGAGAGAGGCCUUUGUGCGAGCCACUUUCUUCCAGUUCUGCCUACAUGGACUUCACAGAGUGGGUCACUCAAAAAGAGUGGCACACAAUGAGAUCAGUGUUUAGGCAUGCAGAUAUCAUGACAGCUUAAUAAAAAAUGCCUAAACAGAGUGCUUUGUCAUGGAGCUUUUUCCUG